GAUGAACGCUGGCGGCGUGCCUAAUACAUGCAAGUCGAGCGGACAGACGAUGAGCUUGCUCCUCUGGCGUUAGCGGAGGACGGGUGAGUCACACGUGGAUCACCUACCUAUAAGACUGGGAUAACUUCGGGAAACCGGAGCUAAUACCGGAUAAUAUAUUGCACCGCAUGGUUCAAUAGUGAAAGUCGGUUUUGCUGUCACUUAUAGAUGGAUCCGGGCCGCAUGAGCUAGUUGGUACGGUCACGGCUUACCAAGGCGACGAUGCGUAGCCGACCUGUGGGAGUGGUAGCCGACAUGGGAGCGGAGACGCGGACCUGAGGCCUACGAUAGGCAGCAGUAGGGUACCGGCCGCAGAGGGCGAAAGCCUGACAGAACAACGCCACGUGAGUUAUGAAGGUGUUCGGUGCGGAAAGCUCUGUUACGAGUUGAGAACAAAUUUGGAAGUAGCUAUGCACGGCGUGACGGUACCUGAUCAGAAAGCAACGGCUAACUACGUG
rnacentral:rRNA from 1 species